GCCAGCAACUUUAUCCCUCAAAAGAUCCAUCUGCAGAUCAGAAAACGUUUUGACAGGAAGUCAAAACAGGUUUAGUUCCAGUCAGAAAGUAAACACUGGAAACAAAAUCCCUUCUUCCUUGUGUUGCUGCUUUGUCUGAUUUAUUUCUCUCCUGCUCUCAGUCCUGUCUGCUUUGGUUUGAUCUGUCUCCUCCUCCCAGGACAGGAAGAAUCCAGGAGGUCUUCUCCUCUGGAGCAGAGUCCUGCAUCCUCCUUCUGCAUCCUGUCUCUGUGCCCCCACCAUCUCCCAGUAUCAGGAAGGAAGGCAUCAACCCUCACAAAGCUGUCUCCUUCUCCCUCCCUUCCUCUUUGAAUGCUCUGGUCCUAUUGGCUUAUAUUUUCUCUCAGGUGCAACUGAAGUUCCCUAAGGCAAUGAACUGAAAAAGAAUCUGCAACAUCUGGGC